AAACGUUGCUUCGGCGGGAACAGACGGCCCUGUAACACGGGCCGCCCCCGCCAGAGGACCCCCUAACUCUGUAUCUGUUAUGUUUUUUCUGAGUAAACAAGCAAAUAAAUUAAAACUUUCAACAACGGAUCUCUUGGCUCUGGCAUCGAUGAAGAACGCAGCGAAAUGCGAUAAGUAAUGUGAAUUGCAGAAUUCAGUGAAUCAUCGAAUCUUUGAACGCACAUUGCGCCCGCCAGUAUUCUGGCGGGCAUGCCUGUUCGAGCGUCAUUACAACCCUCAGGCCCCCGGGCCUGGCGUUGGGGAUCGGCGGAGCCCCCCGUGGGCACACGCCGUCCCCUAAAUACAGUGGCGGUCCCGCCGCAGCUUCCAUUGCGUAGUAGCUAACACCUCGCAACUGGAGAGCGGCGCGGCCACGCCGUAAAACACCCAACUUCUGAAUGUUGACCUCGAAUCAGGUAGGAAUACCCGCUGAACUUAAGCAUAUCAAUAAGCGGAGGAA
rnacentral:rRNA from 1 species